rnacentral:tRNA from 1 species
GCCGGGGUGGUGGAACGGCAGACACGCCAGCCCUAGAAGCUGGUGCCUUCCCAGGCAUGUGGGUUCGAGUCCCACCCCCGGCA